GAUGAACGCUAGCGGCAGGCUUAAUACAUGCAAGUCGAACGGCAGCACGGGUGCUUGCACCUGGUGGCGAGUGGCGAACGGGUGAGUAAUGCACCGGAACGUAUCCAAUAAUGGGGGAUAACGCACCGAAAGGUGUGCUAAUACCGCAUACGCCCUGAGGGGGAAAGCGGGGGAUCGUAAGACCUCGCGUUAAUGGAGCGGCCGAUGCCGGAUUAGCUAGUUGGUGAGGUAAAGGCUCACCAAGGCGACGAUCCGUAGCUGGUCUGAGAGGACGACCAGCCACACUGGAACUGAGACACGGUCCAGACUCCUACGGGAGGCAGCAGUGGGGAAUUUUGGACAAUGGGCGCAAGCCUGAUCCAGCCAUUCCGCGUGAGUGAAGAAGGCCUUCGGG
rnacentral:rRNA from 1 species